rnacentral:lncRNA from 1 species
GGAAUAAACUAUGCCUCUGGGAAAGAAAUGCAUUGCAUGGAUACACUUUGUGAAGGUAAACACACAGAGGCAUUCUGCUUUCUGUUAAUUAAUGACAGUGACGACAAGUUUUUAUAGGAAACCAAUUUUGCUUUUGAACACCAGGGAGAUCUUUGAGCAUAAGAAAUAUUUCAAUUUAGGAAAAUUAUAGCACAGCCAAAAGCCCAAAUGUAACAGGUGAAUUAUUCUCGAAGCUAAAGACAACUCUGAAAGUUGGGAUUUGUUCCAGCAUUUUCCCAGGAGGUGGAAUUCAGAUGCAUGGGCUGGGACUGUGGGA